UUUGUAAUAAAACACACCUACUUAAAUGCAAUAUAAAAUAUAACAAAAAUUCUGACGUAUGUGGCAAGUGUAUAGCAGGUUCCUAAUUGUGAAUGGCAUUGUGUAUUAAUGAGACACACGCGUGUGCAGUUCUAUAAGGAACUGGCGACACGAUAUGUUGUUCGCCUACGCUUUGUCUAAUGACUCCUUUAGAAAAAUGCAGAAGUUCUCAAACUGUACCAAUUUGCAAAAAUUAAAGGUCUCGGCGUGGGGCCACUUUAAAUAUACUUCGGGUUGCGUUGAUUUAAGAUAAUAGGGUGAAAACGCUCUGUAGAUCACAUAGCUCACUCGAAAAUGAGAGCGUUCGUAAUAGUAAUCUUAAUUUCAGGGUGUUGUUUAUAUGAUAUGUCCGCAACAGGAUACGGUGAGGAAUGUGAAAUUUCAAAUCAACGCAUACCCAACACGCAGUGCUUAAACAGUGACAGUAAAUGUCCACUUAUGAGAGCAGUAUCAAAAAUAUGUCCGGAAGGCUUGGUAUGUUGCGUGAAGAUACCUCCAAUACUCGGGGAACAAACCGAUACGGCACAUCCCAAAUUAGUCUAUAAGUUCGGUUAAGUAUAUGUGAAAAGUGCAUAUUUUUCUAGUAAAGUGAUAAA